GUGCAGCAGUCGCGAAUAGUCUACAAUGGACGAAAGUCUGAUAGUGCGACGCCGUGUGUGCGAUUAAUUCCUUCGGGAUGUAAAGCACUUUUCUGUGAGAUAAAAGCUCUUUAGGUUAAUAGCUUAUUGAGACGGAUAUUAUUAUAGGAAUAAGCUCCGGCUAACUCCGUGCCAGCAGCCGCGGUAAUACGGAAGGAGCGAGCGUUGUCCGGAUUUACUAGGCGUAAAGGGCUAGUAGGCGACUAAUUAAGUUAUAUGUUAAAUCCCACGGCUCAACUGUGGUCCUGCAUGUAAUACUGGUUAGAUAGAGUACUGUAGAGGAAGGCAGAAUUCCUGGAGUAGCGGUGGAAUGCGCAGAUAUCAGGAAGAAUACCAAAAGCGAAGGCAGCCUUCUGGGCAGUUACUGACGCUGAAUAGCGAAGGUGUGGGUAGCGAACAGGAUAGAUACUCGUGUAGU
rnacentral:rRNA from 1 species